UACGGAGGAUGCAAGCGUUAUCCGGAUUCAUUGGGUUUAAAGGGUGCGCAGGUGGGCUUUUAAGUCAGUGGUGAAAUGCUGCCGCUUAACGGUAGAAUUGCCAUUGAUACUGAGAGUCUUGAGUAUGGUUGAGGUAGGCGGAAUGUGUUGUGUAGCGGUGAAAUGCAUAGAUAUGACACAGAACACCGAUUGCGAAGGCAGCUUACUAAGCCAUUACUGACGCUGAGGCACGAAAGCGUGGGGAGCGAACAGA
rnacentral:rRNA from 1 species